UACGAAGGGGGCUAGCGUUGUUCGGAGUUACUGGGCGUAAAGGGCGCGUAGGCGGCCCUCCAAGUCAGGCGUGAAAGCCCCGGGCUCAACCCGGGAAUAGCGCUUGAGACUGGGGGGCUUGAGUUCGGGAGAGGAGAGUGGAAUUCCCAGUGUAGAGGUGAAAUUCGUAGAUAUUGGGAAGAACACCGGUGGCGAAGGCGGCUCUCUGGACCGACACUGACGCUGAGGCGCGAAAGCGUGGGGAGCAAACAGG
rnacentral:rRNA from 1 species